AGCCGGCCUGAGAGGGUGACCGGCCACACUGGGACUGAGACACGGCCCAGACUCCUACGGGAGGCAGCAGUGGGGAAUAUUGCACAAUGGGCGAAAGCCUGAUGCAGCGACGCCGCGUGAGGGAUGACGGCCUUCGGGUUGUAAACCUCUUUCAGCAGGGACGAAGCGCAAGUGACGGUACCUGCAAAAGAAGCACCGGCCAACUACGUGCCAGCAGCCGCGGCCGA
rnacentral:rRNA from 1 species